UGUCUCAUAUGAGUUAGAAAAUCAGUGCCGAUCCAUUUUUUUUAUACAACCGCAAAAAUUAAAAAUUUUUUGGUCGUAUAUUGGUAUGACGUUGUCGUCGUCGUCCUGCGUCGUCCGAAGACACAUUGGUUUUCGCACUCUAACUUUAGUUUAAGUGAAUGGAUCUCCAUGAAAUUUUACCAUAAGGUUCAAUACCACGAAAGGAAGGUUGGGAUUGAUUUUGGGGGUUAUGGUACCAGCAGUUAAGGAAUUAGGGGCCAAAAAGGGGCCAAAAAUAAGCAUUUUUGUAACUUCCAAACAAUAACUUGUGUGUAAGUGUAUGGAUCUCUCAGACAUUGUACCACAAGGUUCCAUAUCACAUAGGGAAGGCUGUAAUUGAUUUUGGGGGUAAUUGCCUCAAAAUUUUAGGAAUUAGGGGCCAAAAAAGGGGCAAAAAACAAGCAUUUUUCUAGUUUCAUGACAAUUACUUGUGUGUAAGUGUUUGGAUAUUUCUUAAAUUGUACUACAAGGUUCCAUAUCACAAAGGGAAAGCUGGAAUUGAGUUUGGGGGUAAUUGCCCGAAACGUUUAGGAAUUGGGGGCCAAAAAGGGGCCAAAAAUAAGCAUUUUUCUAGUUUCCAGACAAUAACUUGUGUUCAAUUGUAUGGAUCUCUCUGAAAUUGUACUGCAAGAUACCAUACCACAAAGGGAAGGCUGGGAUUGAGUUUGGGGGUGAUGAAUCAUAAGGGGGUUCAAAAAAUUUGGGGGGGGGGGUUUCUUUUUUUUUCUUUUUUUCCUUUUUUUUUUCUUUUAAAAUUUUCCAUUUUAAGUUGGUUAUUUCUGAUUUAUAUUUAAAAGCAAAUAAUAAUGAUAUGGUAGGAAAUACACACCAAACAGGAUGUGUGAAUUAUUAUACAAUAAGUAUUGUGCAAUAGCAAGAAAUUUUCAAUUGCACAGUAUUGCACAAUAGCAAGAAAUCUUCAAUUGCACAGUAUUGCGCAAUAGCAAGAAAUCUUCAAUUGCACAGAAUUGCGCAAUAGCAAGAAAUAUCCAAUAGCACAAUAUUGCGCAAUAGCAAGAAAUUGUCAAUUGUACAGUAUUGCGCAAUAGCAAGAAAUAUUCAAUUGCACAGUAUUGUGCAAAAGAAUAUACUUUGUAUAAAUUGCUUAUUUCUUGAUCAAUUUCAAUGGGGUUUUAUUCUUGAAUUCUUGGGGUUCUUUAAUAUGCUGAAUCUAACCAUGUAUUAAGUUUUUGGAUUUUGGGCCCCGUUUUUAAAUUGGUCCACAUUGAGGUCCAAAGGGUCCAAAAUUUAACUUUGUUUGAUUUCAUCAAAAAUUGAAUUAUUGGGGUUCUUUGAUAUGCCUAAUCUAACCGUGUAUUUAGAUUCUUAAUUUUUGGUUCCGUUUUCAAAUUGGUCUACAUAAAGGUCCAAAGGGUCCAAAAUUAAACAUAGUUUGAUUUCAACAAAAAUUGAAUAUAUGGGGUUCUUUGAUAUGCUGAAUCUAACCAUGUAUUUAGAUUUUUGAUCAUGGGCCCAGUUUUCAAGUUGGUCCAAAUCGGGGUCCAAAAUUAAACUUUAUUUGAUUUCAACAAAAAUUGAAUAUAUGGGGUUCUUUGAUAUGCUGAAUCUAACCAUGUAUUUAGAUUUUUGAUUAUGGGCCCAGUUUUCAAGUUGGUCCAAAUCGGGGUC